rnacentral:rRNA from 1 species
CCCGGGUCUUGUACACACCGCCCGUCACACCAUGGGAGCGGGUUUUACCAGAAGUAGGUAGCUUAACCGCAAGGAGGGCGCUUAUCACGGUAGGAUUCGUGACUGGGGUG